rnacentral:rRNA from 1 species
UACGGAGGGGACUAGCGUUGUUCGGAAUUACUGGGCGUAAAGCGCACGUAGGCGGAUUUGUAAGUCAGGGGUGAAAUCCCAGGGCUCAACCUCGGAACUGCCUUUGAUACUGCAAAUCUCGAGUCCGGAAGAGGUGAGUGGAAUUCCUAGUGUAGAGGUGAAAUUCGUAGAUAUUAGGAAGAACACCAGUGGCGAAGGCGGCUCACUGGUCCGGUACUGACGCUGAGGU